CGGUAAAAGCUCAAAUUUGAAAUCUGGUACUUUCAGUGCCCGAGUUGUAAUUUGUAGAAUUUGUCUUUGAUUAGGUCCUUGUCUAUGUUCCUUGGAACAGGACGUCAUAGAGGGUGAGAAUCCCGUUUGGCGAGGAUACCUUUUCUCUGUAAGACUUUUUCGAA
rnacentral:rRNA from 1 species